ACGAACGCUGGCGGCAUGCCUAACACAUGCAAGUCGAACGAGACCUUCGGGUCUAGUGGCGCACGGGUGCGUCACGCGUGGGAACCUGCCUUUAGGUUCGGAAUAACUCAGAGAAAUUUGAGCUAAUACCGGAUGAUGUCUUCGGACCAAAGAUUUAUCGCCUUUAGAUGGGCCCGCGUUGGAUUAGCUAGUUGGUGGGGUAAAGGCCUACCAAGGCGACGAUCCAUAGCUGGUCUGAGAGGAUGAUCAGCCACACUGGGACUGAGACACGGCCCAGACUCCUACGGGAGGCAGCAGUGGGGAAUAUUGGACAAUGGGCGAAAGCCUGAUCCAGCAAUGCCGCGUGAGUGAUGAAGGCCUUAGGGUUGUAAAGCUCUUUUACCCGAGAUGAUAAUGACAGUAUCGGGAGAAUAAGCUCCGGCUAACUCCGUG
rnacentral:rRNA from 1 species